rnacentral:tRNA from 1 species
GCCUGGCUGGCUCAGUCGGAAGAGCACGUGAUUCUUGAUCUGGGAGUUGUGAGUUCGAGCCCCACGUUGGGUG